CCCUCUGUACUGCAUUUUAUUCUUUUCCCUUUGUUCUGGCUCAGCAAUCAGAAGAACAGAUGGCCAUCUUCUGUCAGUACUUGAAGACUGUUUCUUAGAAACAUUAAGCCUCCAUCAGGCUCACUUGUUAAUGCAAAAGUCCUACUCAGGACAGAAGCUAGGACAAACUUUGAAGUCAUAAGGUGUACUUCCCACUAUGUGAUGCCUUUCGCCAUGGAUUACCUUUGCCAGAUAUUGGGAGCCAAAACCUAUUUUAUAAGGAUACUAGGAGAAAUGCUCAUUUGUAUAAACACCAUCUAACUACUGCUACUCCUACUGCUGCUGCUGCUGCUGCUGCUGUCCUGAUGAAACUAAGCUUUAUGAACACUUUGAAAGAAGAAUAAUUCAAAGAAUUUCACAAAG